rnacentral:snRNA from 1 species
GUGCUUGCUUCAGUAGCACAUAUACUAAAAUUGGAACAAUACAGAGAAAAUUAGCAUGGUCUCUAUGCAAGGGUGAAGGCAAAUUUAUAAAGCACUAUAUAUUUUU